UACGUAGGGUCCGAGCGUUGUCCGGAAUUAUUGGGCGUAAAGAGCUCGUAGGCGGUCUGUCGCGUCGAUCGUGAAAACUUGGGGCUUAACCCUGAGCUUGCGGUCGAUACGGGCAUGACUGGAGUUCGGCAGGGGAGACUGGAAUUCCUGGUGUAGCGGUGAAAUGCGCAGAUAUCAGGAGGAACACCGGUGGCGAAGGCGGCAUUCUGGACCGAAACUGACACUGAGGCGCGAAAGCCAGGGGAGCAAACGGG
rnacentral:rRNA from 1 species